UACAGAGGUCCCGAGCGUUGUUCGGAUUCAUUGGGCGUAAAGGGUGCGUAGGCGGCUUCCUAAGUUUGAUGUGAAAUCCUGGGGCUCAACCCUGGAACUGCAUUGAAUACUGGGAGGCUAGAGUACUGGAGAGGAAACUGGAAUUUACGGUGUAGCAGUGAAAUGCGUAGAGAUCGUAAGGAAGACCAGUGGCGAAGGCGGCCUGCUGGGCAGUAGCUGACACUGAGGCGCGACAGCGUGGGGAGCAAACAGG
rnacentral:rRNA from 1 species